CCCUUAGAUGUUCUGGGCCGCACGCGCGCUACACUGACGAAGUCAGCGAGCAUCUCCUUCGCCGAAAGGUGCGGGGAAUCUUGUGAAACUUUGUCGUGCUGGGGAUUGAUUUUUGAAAUUCUUGAUCAUCAACGAGGAAUUCCUAGUAAGCGCAAGUCAUCAGCUUGCGUCGAUUACGUCCCUGCCCUUUGUACACACCGCCCGUCGCUCCUACCGAUUGGGUGUGCUGGUGAAAUGUUCGGAUCGGCCGUUUGUCGCGGUUUCCGCGUCAUGUGGCUGAGAAGUUCAUUAAACCCUCCCACCUAGAGGAAGGAGAAGUCGUAACA
rnacentral:rRNA from 1 species